GAUGAAGAACGUAGCGAAAUGCGAUACGUAAUGUGAAUUGCAGAAUUCUGUGAAUCAUCGAGUCUUUGAACGCACAUUGCGCCCCCUGGUAUUCCGGGGGGCAUGCCUGUCCGAGCGUCAUUGCUGCCCUCAAGCACGGCUUGUGUGUUGGGCCUCCGUCCUCCUCCCGGGGGACGGGCCCGAAAGGCAGCGGCGGCACCGCGUCCGGUCCUCGAGCGUAUGGGGCUUCGUCACCCGCUCUUGUAGGCCCGGCCGGCGCUUGCCGACACAUCAAUCUUUUUUCCAGGUUGACCUCGGAUCAGGUAGGGAUACCCGCUGAACUUAAGCAUAUCAAUACGGAGG
rnacentral:misc_RNA from 1 species